rnacentral:rRNA from 1 species
AGAAUCAACGCUGGCGGCGUGCCUAACACAUGCAAGUCGCACGAGAAAGGGUAGCAAUACCUGAGUAAGGUGGCGCACGGGUGAGUAACACGUGAAUUAUCUACCUCCGAGUGGGGAAUAACUGAGAGAAAUCUUAGCUAAUACCGCAUAACACUUACGAGUCAAAGCAGCAAUGCGCUUGGAGAGGAGUUCGCGGCAGAUUAGUUAGUUGGCGGGGUAAUGGCCCACCAAGACGAUGAUCUGUA